UACGAAGGGGGCUAGCGUUGCUCGGAAUUACUGGGCGUAAAGGGCGCGUAGGCGGAUAGUUUAGUUGGGGGUGAAAGCCCGGGGCUCAACCUCGGAAUUGCCUUCAAUACUGGCUAUCUUGAGUGUGAGAGAGGUGUGUGGAACUCCGAGUGUAGAGGUGAAAUUCGUAGAUAUUCGGAAGAACACCAGUGGCGAAGGCGACACACUGGCUCACUACUGACGCUGAGGCGCGAAAGCGUGGGGAGCAAACCGG
rnacentral:rRNA from 1 species